rnacentral:rRNA from 1 species
AGGGGCAGCGGGGGCGAAGCUUGCUUCGCCUGCCGGCGACCGGCGCACGGGUGAGUAACACGUAUGCGACCUGCCCCCCGCAGGGGGAUAACCGGGAGAAAUCCCGACUAAUACCGCGUAACGCCGCUGGGCUGCAUGGCCCGGCGGCCAAAGGAAGCGAUUCCGGCGGGGGAUGGGCAUGCGGCGCAUUAGCUAGUCGGCGGGGUAACGGCCCACCGAGGCGACGAUGCGUAGGGGUUCUGAGAGGAAGGUCCCCCCCACUGGUACUGAGACACGGACCAGACUCCUACGGGAGGCAGCAGUGAGGAAUAUUGGUCAAUGGGCGGGAGCCUGAACCAGCCAAGUCGCGUGAGGGAAGACGGUCCUACGGAUUGUAAACCUCUUUUGCCGGGGAGCAACGGGGUCCUUGCGAGGGCCCGAUGAAAAAACCCGGAGAAAAAGCAUCGGCUAACUCCGAACCAGCAGCCGCGGUAAUACGGAGGAUGCGAGCGUUAUCCGGAUUUAUUGGGUUUAAAGGGUGCGUAGGCGGGCUGUUAAGUCAGCGGUCAAAUGUCGGGGCUCAACCCCGGCCUGCCGUUGAAACUGGCGGCCUCGAGUGGGCGAGAAGUACGCGGAAUGCGUGGUGUAGCGGUGAAAUGCAU